rnacentral:sRNA from 1 species
AGACUCCGACUGGAUUCCUUAGAGAAAUCCCGCACCCUUCAAAAGCAGGAUGCGGCCACGCCCCCCGGGUGGCACAUUGUGAUUGGUGGGUGGGGUUCGGGAGGUGUCGGCCCUGCCCCCGCUAGGGCUAGAAUGCUGUUCUGAUUGGACCAUCGCCGGGUGGGCGUGACACGACUGUCUGGGCUGGGGCAUCCGCCCACCGGCCUGACCGCGCCGGGCUGCCCUUGCUCAGGACCGUGGACGCGCUGGGUGUGCUGACUGGGGCGCAGCUUUUCUCGCUGCAGAAGGAGGAGCUGCGGGCGGUGAGCCCCGAGGAGGGGGCACGUGUGUACAGCCAGGUCACCGUGCAGCGCGCGCUGCUGGAGGACAAAGAGAAAGUGUCAGAGCUGGAGGCAGUGAUGGAGAAGCAAAAGAAGAAGGUGGAAGGCGAGAUGGAAAUGGAGGUCAUUUGACCUGCCCGGCGCCCUUCGCAAAGAGUGACGAGGCCCCGUGGGAGAACGGACUCUUCAGACUCUCCCCAGUAGCGGAAGUCGAUCUUCUGAAGGAUGGCCAAUCUGCUCCGGCCCUGGUCUUCCCCCAUCCCGGUGGACAGACUUAACAGUCCUUGCUGCAGUCCCUCCGGAGCGGAUCUGGACUGGCUGUGAGUGGGGAAGGCUUGGAGACAGUCUACGGAAAGCGCUAGCAGACCCCCGAGAGGGUGCAGUGGAGCCCUGAGCAUUGUAAUAUGCCGCCCAGCCUAUAAA